ACUGGGCGUGGCGGUGCAUGUCUGUAAUCCCAGCCACCAGGCUGGUGAAGGCUGGUGGAUCUCUUGGGCUUGUGAGUUCUGAGCUUCGGUAAACUAAGGCUGUCAGGUGUCCACACUAAGUCAGGCACCAAUAUGGUGAGCCCCCGGUAAUGAGGGAGCCAUCAGGUUGUUUAAGGAAGGGUGAACCAGUUCAGGUCAAAAAGGAGCAAGUCGAAGCUCCCAUCCAGAUCAGAGUGGGAUUGGACCCAGGAACAGACCCUAAUUAUGUACCCUGGCCAAGAUAGGAAGACUCUGUCUUU
rnacentral:SRP_RNA from 1 species